rnacentral:hammerhead_ribozyme from 1 species
GUACUGUGAGGAGUCCCAAACAGGACGAAACAGCUGUCCAGUAC